ACAGAACGCCAUAGCGCAGCUGAGAGAGAGAACAGAAGGGAGGAGAGAGGGCCUCGCCGGCGACCUUCGCUCCGGCCUUGAUGUGGGUGCCCAGUUCCUCGCUGGGCAGUGCCGAGCGUACACCGAGAAGGUCGCGCUCUCGCCGGUCAAGUCUGGAGGACGAGCUGCUCAGAAUGCGUCAGAGGGCCUCGCCGGCGACCUUCGCUCCGGCCUUGAUGUGGGUGCCCAGUUCCUCGCUGGGCAGUGCCGAGCGUACACCGAGAAGGUCGCGCUCUCGCCGGUCAAGUCUGGAGGACGAGCUGCUCAGAAUGCGUCGUCAGCAUUGAGAGAAGUCAUGGGCUCCUACACAAAUGCAAUCCGCCGUCGUCUACGUCUCGACCAACGCGUGAGGUUACGAGCCACCUGAAGAACAAGUUGGUAGCUGGAAUCUCAAGUCCCAGGUCAAGAACAGGUACCGCAGGAUGAGGCGCUUGGAGGAUGCUGCGAUGUGUUCGUGAGAGGUCUAGGUCGUCGUCUCCCAGUCAACUUUGGGUUGCUGGACCGUUGUCUCCAUAUAAUGUAAUAAUUUAUUUACUUUGUACAGAACUCCGAUUAUAUAGUAAAGAUGUGACAUUCGAUCCUGUGCCAUGAUUCAUCAUAUGUGUGAGACUUGGUCCCAGCACACCUGGUGAUUAUGUUCGCACCCGGG
rnacentral:misc_RNA from 1 species